CAUUCGGGCUGCGGUUAAUGAUUAUGUUUCAGCAGUGAAGAAAAUGUCCUGUGAUAUUCUUGAAAUGUUGGCGGAGGGAUUAAAGAUUUAUCCGACGAAUGUUUUCAGUAAGCUUUUGAUGGACGAAAAUAGCGACUCCGUUUUCAGGCUGAAUCACUAUCCGCCAUGCUCAGAGAUUGAACGAUUGAACGAUAAUAAUAAUGAUUUGAUUGGAUUUGG
rnacentral:misc_RNA from 1 species